AUACUUCAUCCAUAGUCCUCUGAAAUCAAAAGGAAGACAUCCAUUGACCGUUGUGGGCUUUGGAUCAGGCUCAAUAUGAAGCAAGAUCUGGAGCACAGGGCUUGCCUUCUGGAGUGCUAUGAGUCAUAACAUGUUCCUGUACUGGGAAAGUGGAAUUCCCUUCUUUGGUGUCAACAGAAAGUUUGGCAAGAGACAGCUCAGGUUCUGUCUGACAUUAGUAAAAGAAACAUUGGACAUUCUACUAGACUGGUGA
rnacentral:lncRNA from 1 species